AAUAGUACUGCAACUGACAUCGAAAAAGACGCUUAGUUAACGAGUUUAAUGGUCCGGAAUAACACACGGCUGCAAAUUGUUUUAAAUGAUAGAAUAAUAUCUAUAUUUUAAUUUCCGUCGGGUCGUAAAAAGUUUCUAUGGUCACAUUUUUGUAUUUUAUCCCUUUAAUGGGGGUACCCCUCAAUUUACGGUUUUGGGUAGUUACCUUAAAAUCCAAAAAUAUAUUUUUUGGUUAAAUUUCCCGCUAUUUUCGUAAAUAUUUUCUAUGCACAUAUCAUCAAGGAUCAUCGGAAUGAUGAAGACAUAAAUAUAAUACCAUCUCCAAGUAAAACUUUCAAACUUAAAGUUGGCUGUUUUUUAGAUAGAAAUUUAACGCGUUUUUCUUUGAAAACGAGAAAACAUAUGAUUCAAAAAACAGUAUUUGACAUUUGAGAGGAC
rnacentral:lncRNA from 1 species